GGAGAAAAAUACGAACAAAGGGCUGAAAUACGAACAAAGAGGGGUGCCGCCUGUGACAGUGGCACCAUUGGUGCCACCUCUGCCACAGGCACCAUUGGUGCCGCCUGUGACAGGCCCUCCAUUUAGCCGUUUUUUUUGUAUUAUUUUGGUAAAUAAUCUUUUUUGUAUAUUAUUUUGGUAUUUUUUUAUUUUUAUUUGUAAUAUUUUG
rnacentral:lncRNA from 1 species